UGGCGUCGUGGAUUCGGCGUAUUUGACGGCGGUUCGUGGAUUCGGAUCGUGGGCUCGUGGAUUCGAGUGGCGUCGUGGAUUCGGCGUGAUUGAAGCUUCGUGGAUUCGAAGUGGAGGCGUUCGUGGAUUCGGACGUGAGGGCGUGGACAACCCGGAGGGUAGCGCGAAGAUUCAUAGGAGGUUAAGAGAGGUUGAGUCCGUGGAGUCGGUAAUCACCUUGUAAUCUUUUCUCUUAGUGAAUUAUUUUUUCGCGUGUUGGUCCCGUGGGUUUUUUCUCCAAGUUGGAGUUUUCCCACGUAAAUCUCGGUGUGCUUUUUAUUUUCCGCAUUUAUUUUUAUUGCAUCGAGAUUUGUGGUUUUUGGCCGUUCACCUAUUCACCCC
rnacentral:lncRNA from 1 species